rnacentral:piRNA from 1 species
UGAGCUCUGUGGCCUAUAUAUACAAUGUAA